GAUGAACGCUGGCGGCGUGCCUAAUACAUGCAAGUCGAGCGAACAGAUGAGGAGCUUGCUCCUCUGACGUUAGCGGCGGACGGGUGAGUAACACGUGGAUAACCUACCUAUAAGACUGGGAUAACUUCGGGAAACCGGAGCUAAUACCGGAUAAUAUAUUGAACCGCAUGGUUCAAUAGUGAAAGACGGUUUUGCUGUCACUUAUAGAUGGAUCCGCGCCGCAUUAGCUAGUUGGUAAGGUAACGGCUUACCAAGGCAACGAUGCGUAGCCGACCUGAGAGGGUGAUCGGCCACACUGGAACUGAGACACGGUCCAGACUCCUACGGGAGGCAGCAGUAGGGAAUCUUCCGCAAAGGGCGAAAGCCUGACGGAGCAACGCCGCGUGAGUGAUGAAGGUCUUCGGAUCGUAAAACUCUGUCAUUAGGGAAGAACAAAUGUGUAAGUAACUAUGCACGUCUUGACGGUACCUAAUCAGAAAGCCACGGCUAACUACGUG
rnacentral:rRNA from 1 species